rnacentral:lncRNA from 1 species
GUUGGAUUCAAAAAGAAAAAGAGAACUGGCACCAAGGAGCCCUUAUAGGGUAAUGGAACUAAGAAGCCUCACACUGCACGUGCAUGCUGGAGGUAUUUGAGCAAUGGAUUAGGACUGUGUCAGAAUCAGUGAGACACUAAUGAAAAUUAUUCAAUAUGAGUGACUUGAGAAGGUGAAGGCUGAUCCAACUCUCUUUACAGGAAGUAGGUGAGUGUAAACCACAAUAAGUAAAUAAGUUAUGAUAAUGCUGGAAGAUCCCUAUCCCUUGGCAGGAUGUAAAUAAUCGUUUUCAAUCCAGGCCACUCCAAAGUUCUUGAGAAGGGGAAAAUUCUUAUUAAAAUGAUGUUUGAGGAAAAAUUUUUUGGUAGUGAUUUAUGUCUCCCCACAGAAUGGAGAUACUGGAUUCAAAAGUAAAAGGGACCGAUGAUCCCCUUUUGAUGACCUUGUCUCUGAAGUAGCCAAUUCUGUAUCAAAACCUGAGGAGAGAGAAUAAAUAGACCAGAGGUUUGGGUUCUAGCCUUGAUUUUCGAUGGGCUACGAUUCCUCCUUUCCAGUCUAACAACGUAGAUCUUCUCUUUUUAAACCUUUUUUGUCUCUACUUUUGUAUAUUAUCUGGGACAAGUCACAUCAGCUCUCUGGGUAUCAGAUUCUUCAACUGUAACACAAGCAGGUACAACCAGGAUUAUCACUGAGGAUACUUUUUCAAAUUUAGAAUGAAACUUCAAAUACAAGUAAAUCACAAUCCUAGACACUUCUUCCAUGAGCCCAAGAGAGUGAUUAGUUCAGGGUUGAUUUUAUAAUGUAUGCUUUUUCACAUUUUAACAUCUCUGUUCAAUGUCCUAUAACUGAUGGUACUUUACAAUCAUAAUUUUUUCUUUCUUAGCAGCUCAUAACAUAAUGAUAUGUUGUACAUUUGAAUUUUCUUCUAACUCUCAAAUACAGUUAAGCUCAGAGUAUAUAUACAGGCAGAUCUGUCAAACAUCCAGCGUCACAUUAUUUAGAUGAAUAAGGAGCAGAGAUGGACUAGGACAAAGAGUGUCCAAAGUGGUUGUCACUUGUUUCAUUAAUUGUCGUUUCAGAAAAUUCUCGUGUACUGGAAGAUAAUUCCUCCACAUCUCCUGCUCCACGUCUAUCUUCAUAAUUGACUCUUCCAAAGAAGGCUCAGAGUCCUCAGGGAUUUAUUGGUGAAAGCUUUUAUUAUACUAUUAAUUGCUAUUGUAUUUAUCAUCAUAAUUAUAAUUGAUCCAGGCCAAUGCUUUUCAAAGUGUAGACUAAAACUUAUUUGUGGAUUGAACAAUCAAUACAAUGAGUCACCAUAGUGUUUGAGCAAAUAAAGUAACACAAACUAAAAUAGAAACUCUCAGUAUCCCAUAGAGUGAGAGCAUCAUUUCCUGAGACAUCAUUUCGGAUGUAUUUACUUAUGUAUAUACAUGCAGAUAUUCACACAUGGGAGUACUGGUUUGUGGUUUAAAUUGUAUUUCCAUUGCGGGUUGUGGUCAAAAAGAGAUGCAAAAAUGCCAUUCUAGAGCCUGCUUUGGAGGUGGCUGUGGCUAUUGCAAAUAGCUUUUAG